CUGGCUGCUGGGCUCUUUGCUGGUUCGUGUCAGCUAAAAGCUUUAACAGCUUUGACGUUAUUGCUGCAGUCUGGCCGGUAGGCCUACUCUAUCCCCAUUCCGGAGAUGGUAUUCAUUGAACAGAUCAAACUGAUGAUCGUCUCGCUGUGUGUCUCCUUUAGUUCCAAAUAAUCCCUGCCAGCAGCAAACGGCGGCGGCAUCGUCAGCACCAGCCAUCGCAAAUGUAUAUAGACAUCAUAAAAACCUUUGGAACGAAAUAACACACAGCAGAGCACAUCAGUGCCGGCCAGAGUCUUGUGUGUUUGCUCAGUUCGGAGAGAUGUUGAUGAUGGCCAGUCGAAAAGAAGAUGGGGACGAGAAAGAGAGAGAGAGAAAAAGGUGAGCUAUUUCCCACAUUCAUCAAGAGUGCUGUUGCAGUCGUCAUAAAAAAAGAUAUGGUCCUUCUUUUUCUUCUUCUUCUUUUCAUUUUCGAGUGGAGACACACAGGGCAGAGUGUGCCUGUGCUGCCCCGGUCGCCGGUCUGCUGGAGAGUAGCCGGGACGCCUGCUGGAAAUACCCGUCCACCUCACGUUCUUAUAUAUAGUGGAAAUGUGUGGCUGCUGCUGCACAUCAUCUCUCUGCUGCCCCAUAACGCGGAGAGAGAACCUUCUUCACUCCUCCGUCUCGACAAAGCACUCGAGAAGAGAGCAAAUGCUCGGUGACAUUUUUCUAUAAGGGCCUGACUGACUGACUGCCUUUUCAUCUUUUUCUUUUUUCUUAUUUCUUCUUAUUUCUUCCAGUCAGUUUCCUCGGUCGCGCGGUUCCCCCUGCCGUGCUUUCAUCUUGAUUGUCCUUUGACCUUUACCUCUCAUUCUUUACCAAAGAUCAUGCGGGCCAGCCAUGCAGGGCCGGUUCCCAAAACGACGUGAUCCUUCGCCAAUGUCCCUGGCACGACCUUUUUUUUUCUUUUUUUUUUAAAUGCCAUUUCCAACUACAAGGUGAGAGAGGGGGGGGGGGGGGGAGAAAGAAGUUAAAAAAGGAAGAAGAAAAGGUCUGCUGCUGGACAAUCUCGACGGCAAAUCGCACGGGGGUUUUUUCUUCUUCUUGGCCGGGGACAACGGAGAGAAGAGAAUAAGAGAAAGAAAGAGCAGUCACACAAGUGGCUUUUCUCGGUGGACGCAUUCCAAUUUGGAAAGGACAAAACGGCAGCUGAAAAGAGCAGCAGCAGCUGAUGGAGGAGGAAGAAGAAGAAGCUAAAAGAGAAUUUCCGUCGCUUUUCUCUCUCUCUCUGCCUGGACAAGGAGCAACGCAACCGUGUGCUCCUGCUGUCUGUCUGCCUGUCUGUCGGUUGUUUUUUCUUUUUCUUUUUUCUUUCUUUCUUUUUUUUUCCGUUUGAUAUUAUAACAAACGCUGAGAUAAUAUACAGGAAGGGGUUCGCUUAGCCGCCAGCUCAGCCAACAGCGCCGAGAUCUGUUUGGGAGGAGGAAUGCCGGUAAAAGAGGGAAACAUCUCCUCUCUGGUCAUAAAUCAAAAAACAAAACAAAAUACAGGAAAACUCAAAAAGAAAACAAGAAAACAAGAAUAAGGAGAAAGAAGAAGAAUCGUUUCUUAUCUUGUAGCAACUGCCAUGCACACGAAACAAUUCGAGAAAACAAGGACCCAGAAAAAAACUAUAGUUCUAACUUCUAACACACUAACCCAAGAGACUAUACUCCGCCGGUCCCGUCCGUCCGGGAGAAAGAGACAAACGAAGAAAAAGUUAAAAAGGGGAGGCAAGAAAAAAUAAAUAUUUUUGUCUUUUUCAAAAAAAUAAACUUGUGAAAAAGAUGAAGAAAGGGAGAAAAGACAAUAACAAGACAGUCGACUAACACACAAGAGACCUGGAACGAUCAUUUUUAUUACAACCCGGUAGUUGUAUAUAGCUAUAGCGGUGUAUAGUGGUAUAGUGUUCAGGUGCGUCAGUCUAUAUAUACAUCCAACUGGGUCAUACUUAGAGGUCCUCUUCUUCAUUCUUUUUGAGGACAGCACAAGGUAAAACGACGAAGCAGAAAGAUGACUUUAUCGUCUCAUCAUCGGCUGGAAGGGGGGAAACAGAACAGCAGCGCAGCCGACUUUUGGGUGACACGUGAACUUGGCCCGCAUCAGCCCGUCUCGGAGACGGCAAACCAAUACCGAAACACAACACACAUGACACCACAAUCAGAAUGCGCAUUAUAAGAGUUGAAAGAUCAGUCAGAGAAAUCAGAAAAAUCAAACGAAAAAAAAAAAAAAGAAAUGUUGGAAUGAAUCGGCAGGAAUAUCGGAGAUCUAUCAAGUAUAUUUCACCCUAUGGGCAGCAACAAGGCAAGAAGAAGAAGAAGAAACAACAGCUCAAACCAGGUGAAAAGAUCUUCAUCAUCAUCUCUCUCUCAUCCUUGCCUGCACCGCUGAAUAAGAAAACAAAACAUCCGUCGGAGAUUGGAGAAGUUGUCGUCUAUAAUGUGGACGUGUGUCUCCGUCUGUCCAUCCCGGCGUGAAUGACGCGGCAAGAAGAAGAAGAAGACGGCGCGCUCGCAUCUCUCUCUGACUAUCUCUCUGUAACGCUGCUAUACAUUAUUAUACUGCGUUAUUAUU